GGUGAGGUAACGGCUCACCAAGGCAAUGACGGGUAGCCGGACUGAGAGGUUGGCCGGUCACACUGGGACUGAGACACUGCCCAGACUCCUACGGGAGGCUGCAGUCGAGAAUCUUCCGCAAUGGGCGCAAGCCUGACGGAGCGACGCCGCGUGGAGGAUGAAGGCCUUCGGGUUGUAAACUCCUGUCACGAGUUAUGAAACGCCAUGCGAUAACACCGUAUGGUUUGACGAAGGCUCGAGAGGAAGUCAUGGCUAACUCCGUGCCAGCAGCCGCGGUAAUACGGAGAUGGCAAGCGUUGCUCGGAAUCACUGGGCAUAAAGGGCGUCUAGGCGGAUCGACAAGUCGGCUGUGAAAGUCCUCGGCUCACCCGAGGAAGUGCAGCCGAAACUGGCGGUCUUGAGGACGAGAGGGGAGAGUGGAACUCCUGGUGGAGCGGUGAAAUGCGUAGAUAUCAGGAGGAACGCCGGUGGCGAAAGCGACUCUCUGGCUCGUUUCUGACGCUGAAGCGCGAAAGCUAGGAGAGCGAACGGGAUUAGAUACCCCGGUAGUCCUAGCCGUAAACGAUGAGCACUAAGUAGUGGCGUAUCGAUGACGUCAUUGCCGCAGCUAAUGUGUUAAGUGCUCCGCCUGGGGAGUAUGGUCGCAAGGCUAAAACUCAAAGGAAUUGACGGGGGCUCACACAAGCGGUGGAGGAUGUUGCUUAAUUCGAAUCAACGCGAAGAACCUUACCUGGGCUUGACAUCACGGUGGUAGGACCCUGAAAGGGGAACGACCCGGGGCAACCUGGGAGCCGCGACAGGUGUUGCAUGGCUGUCGUCAGCUCGUGCCGUGAGGUGUUGGGUUAAGUCCCGUAACGAGCGAAACCCUUGUCGUUAGUUGCCAGCGAGUAAUGUCGGGGACUCUAACGAGACUGCCGGUGUCAAACCGGAGGAAGGUGGGGACGACGUCAAGUCAUCAUGGCCCUUACGCCCAGGGCUGCAAACGUCCUACAAUGGCGCGUACAAAGGGAAGCGAACUCGCAAGGGCAAGCCAAUCCCAUAAAGCGCGUCCCAGUUCGGAUUGUGGGCUGAAAUUCGCCCACAUGAAGUCGGAAUCGCUAGUAAUCGCGGAUCAGCAUGCCGCGGUGAAUAUGUUCCUGAGCCUUGUACACACCGCCCGUCAAGCCACGGAAGCCGGGAGUGCCCGAAGCCCGUGACCUAACCUUUGGAAGGAGCGGUCGACGGUAAGCCCGGUGACUGGGACUAAGUCGUAACAAGGUA
rnacentral:rRNA from 1 species